rnacentral:rRNA from 1 species
AUUGAACGCUGGCGGCAGGCCUAACACAUGCAAGUCGAGCGGAUGAGAGGAGCUUGCUCCUUGAUUUAGCGGCGGACGGGUGAGUAAUGCCUAGGAAUCUGCCUGGUAGUGGGGGAUAACGUUCCGAAAGGAACGCUAAUACCGCAUACGUCCUACGGGAGAAAGCAGAGGACCUUCGGGCCCUGCGCUAUCAGAUGAGCCUAGGUCGGAUUAGCUAGUUGGUGAGGUAAUGGCUCACCAAGGCGACGAUCCGUAACUGGUCUGAGAGGAUGAUCAGUCACACUGGAACUGAGACACGGGCCAGACUCCUACGGGAGGCAGCAGUGGGGAAUAUUGGACAAUGGGCGAAAGCCUGAUCCAGCCAUGCCGCGUGUGUGAAGAAGGUCUUCGGAUUGUAAAGCACUUUAAGUUGGGAGGAAGGGCAUUAACCUAAUACGUUAGUGUUUUGACGUUACCGACAGAAUAAGCACCGGCUAACUUCGUGCCAGCCGCCGCUGUAAGAC